GCUCGCUCCCGCAGUGGUGAGCAAGGAGCUGUACUUAUCCCAUUUUAGAGGUGAGAAAAUCAAGGCACGGGGAGUUUCAGUGACCUGUAUGAAUCACAGACCUGAUGGGCAGCAGAGUUGGAGUUCAAAUCCAGGCCAGGCACUGUUUCUCCUGGAGACCUUUGGUUGCUGACAGCAGGCUGCAUAAUGCAGCGGGAGCUGAACAGUAUGAUGAUGACAGCCCACACCAGCAGUGGAAAGCGACGUGCAUUUUCCUGAGAGAAAGCUGUUCUCUAUUUAGAGGGCCACUUUGCCAGCUGACAGCAGGAGAGGGGCCGCGCUCAGCAAGCAGCGCCUUCAUUUACGCACAGGGUCCUAACCCUAACAAGCAGAGAAAAUACAAAGCACAACCAUCCCUGCAGAAACCAGCGUCCCCUCGUCUCAGUCCCAGAUGCUGUCUCUCGUGGUGGCAACAUGGGGGAUUGUGUCAUCAAGCCUGCUUCCCUGCAAGAUGCUGACUUUAACAGAUUAGAAAUGUUGCCGGCACA